CCCCUUUAUUUAAUUCACCAUUAUUAUUUUUACCAAUUCAAAAGGUGAACAAUGUAGCUAUUACAUAUUAUUACUAACAUUUUACACGACAAAAGCAUUGACUUGUUUUAUCGCAAAAUGAUGAUCUUGCAAAGAUUCCAUAAAGCAUCAUGCAUUCUCUCCAACAAAAUGCACAGCUAACAUCAAAUGCUGCGCAUAUACAAUCUUUUGCCUCUGUUAUAAUAUGCAUUCGGCUUCCUACAAUAUAUUCCAUUAGUCAAGAAACUAAUAAACUCACAAAAAAAAAUUUUAUUGCACACAAAAUUAGAAAUAAAAAUGUCUUCAAUAUAAUUGGUUUUUUGGAUGUGGUGCAUACCAAAACCAAUGAAAAUAGCAAGCAAAAGGAUGCAAAUAUAAAAGGAGAUUUUCAUGUUGUCCUUCUUUUGAGAAAUAGCUUCAAGCUUUCAAUAAUG
rnacentral:lncRNA from 1 species